AUUGAACGCUGGCGGCAGGCCUAACACAUGCAAGUCGAACGGUAACAGGAAACAGCUUGCUGUUUCGCUGACGAGUGGCGGACGGGUGAGUAAUGUCUGGGAAACUGCCUGAUGGAGGGGGAUAACUACUGGAAACGGUAGCUAAUACCGCAUAACGUCGCAAGACCAAAGAGGGGGACCCUCGGGCCUCUUGCCAUCGGAUGUGCCCAGAUGGGAUUAGCUUGUUGGUGGGGUAACGGCUCACCAAGGCGACGAUCCCUAGCUGGUCUGAGAGGAUGACCAGCCACACUGGAACUGAGACACGGUCCAGACUCCUACGGGAGGCAGCAGUGGGGAAUAUUGCACAAUGGGCGCAAGCCUGAUGCAGCCAUGCCGCGUGUAUGGAGAAGGCCUUCGGGUUGUAAAGUACUUUCAGCGGGGAGGAAGGGAGUAAAGUUAAUACCUUUGCUCAUUGACGUUACCCGCAGAAGAAGCACCGGCUAACUCCGUG
rnacentral:rRNA from 1 species